CAAGAUGUGGCGUAGCUUGGUAGCGCAUCUGUUUUGGGAACAGAAGGUCAUAGGUUCAAAUCCUAUCAUCUUGA
rnacentral:tRNA from 1 species